UACGAAGGGGGGCUAGCGUUGUUCGGAAUUACUGGGCGUAAAGGGCGCGUAGGCGGUGUGUCAAGUCAGGCGUGAAAGCCCCGGGCUCAACCUGGGAACCGCGCUUGAGACUGGCACGCUAGAGUUCGGGAGAGGAUGGUGGAAUUCCCAGUGUAGAGGUGAAAAUUCGUAGAUAUUGGGAAGAACACCGAUGGCGAAGGCAGCCAUCUGGACCGACACUGACGCUGAGGCGCGAAAAGCGUGGGGGAGCAAACAGG
rnacentral:rRNA from 1 species